CAGCAGCCGCGGGAAUACGUAGGGUGCAAGCGUUAAUCGGAAUUACUGGGCGUAAAGCGUGCGCAGGCGGUGUUGUAAGACUGAUGUGAAAUCCCCGGGCUCAACCUGGGAACUGCAUUUGUGACUGUAUAGCUAGAGUACGGCAGAGGGGGAUGGAAUUCCGCGUGUAGCAGUGAAAUGCGUAGAUAUGCGGAGGAACACCGAUGGCGAAGGCAAUCCCCUGGGCCUGUACUAACGCUCAUGCACGAAAGCGUGGGGAGCAAACAGGAUUAGAUACCCCUGUAGUCCCUGUCUCUUAUAC
rnacentral:rRNA from 1 species